rnacentral:rRNA from 1 species
ACACGUGAUUCAGAGUUUGAUCCUGGCUCAGGACGAACGCUGGCGGCGUGCCUAACACAUGCAAGUCGAACGGAGUAAGGAGAGCUUGCUUUCCUUACUUAGUGGCGAACGGGUGAGUAACGCGUGAGGAACCUGCCUUUCAGUGGGGGACAACAGUUGGAAACGACUGCUAAUACCGCAUAAUGUUAUCGGAUGGCAUCAUCUGGUAACCAAAGCUUUAUGUGCUGAAAGAUGGCCUCGCGCCUGAUUAGAUAGUUGGUGGGGUAACGGCCUACCAAGUCGACGAUCAGUAGCCGGUCUGAGAGGAUGAACGGCCACAUUGGGACUGAGAUACGGCCCAG